UACGUAGGGACCGAGCGUUGUCCGGAAUCAUUGGGCGUAAAGCGCGUGUAGGCUGCUCUGCAAGUCGGGUGUGAAAGCCCUGGGCUCAACCUAGGAAGUGCACUCGAAACUGCGGAGCUGGAGUUCUGGAGAGGAAGGCGGAAUUCUCGGUGUAGAGGUGAAAUUCGUAGAUAUCGAGAGGAACACCGGUGGCGAAGGCGGCCUUCUGGACAGUGACUGACGCUGAGACGCGAAAGCGUGGGGAGCAAACAGG
rnacentral:rRNA from 1 species